rnacentral:misc_RNA from 1 species
AAGUUGACAAAUUGUGUCAAGAGAGAGACAGCCAACAACAAUGGAGUCCAUAGCCAUUCUUGAAAAGCCUCAUGCACUAUGCAUUCCUUUUCCGUCUCAAGGUCACAUAAAUCCCAUGCUAAAACUAGCCAAACUCCUCCACCACAACGGCUUCCAUAUUACCUUCCUUCACACCGAGCACACCCACAAACGCCUCCUUCAAUCUAUAGGACCCGACCCUCUCAAUGGCCUACCUUCCUUUCAUUUCCGUACAAUCCCGGACGGCCUCCCUCCGACCAUCACCC